UGUUGGUAAAAGCAAGCAUAUUUAUAAAAUUUAUACCCUGCAAUUUCAUUCAAGAUGCAGGAUAGGAGCUUGCUAUACAAUGCUCUAAGCAGGUAAGAGUGCCUGAAGACUUGAUGCGAGUACUGUUGCUGUCAGUUCAUUAUCUAUCGCCCUCUUUACUGGAAGUUUUGAAAAACAAUUCUAUCUCUUCUAACAAUCUCUUGGAAGUUUGUAGAUCUGCACAAUCCACAUCUAGAGACUUUGCAGAUGACAUCACGUGAAUCAGAUACUCGCAAACUUCACCCAAAUCAUCUGUUGUGAUAGUCCUCUUCUCUAUCUUUUCAUCUGUGCAGUCAUUUUGACAAUCUUCAGUAUAUAGACGUUUCCUGCAUUCCUGCCAUAACAAAGAAAGCUAAAACUUAUUGAAUCUGAUACAAUGCAUUAUCUUUUCACCAAUUGUUGUUUCCAUUUUGUGGACAAGGGAGCAGUACCAAUCUCUUGCCACUAUGGAACUAUUGCAGCCUGUUAGAACUAUCAUGCCUAACCACUGUUCUUCAAAUACUAUCAGUCAAAAUUGGGGGGAAAUAAUUGCCUCGCUUUUUUGACUCA